rnacentral:lncRNA from 1 species
GAAUGAGAUCUGCAAUGAAAAAUAAAAUCCAACAAGAUCAAAAUCAGUCCAAAUAGAGUCCAGAUCGAGAAACUAUGUGCAAAAGAAAGCAAAGAUGUGGAUGGGUAUGGCCCACAGACCGUAGAUGGGCCCCACAGACGGUGUGGACCCACGGGCAUGCAGGCUUGGCCCAACUGCACACUGGUGCGGCAUGUUGGGUUUGAGCCCGCCAGCGAAUGGCCCAGCACCAGGCUAUUUUUUCUUUCUUUGGUCCAUGAUGGAUCGGUCACAAUAUUGCGGCUCACAGUAGGGCUCAUUAAUCUUAUAAUCCAUCAGUGACACCUCACAGUAUGUAGUGGCAAUCUAGCAGAAUGGAAGGGAAUAAACUUCUAGGUAUAGUUAACCUAUGAUUCAAUUCUUCUAUCAUGAGUUCCAACAAGAUGGAGGUUAUGAAAAAUUCGUCAAAUUUCAUCAUCUAUUAUAUGUAAGAUUUACUCAACUCGAGUUUAAAUUAUGAGACACUACAAAGAGAUACUGAGAGUGGCGAGCUUUCUGAUAGGAUCGAUAUCUACCAGUGGACCCACCAGCGACGGUCAGGAGAGU